AUUGAACGCUGGCGGCAGGCUUAACACAUGCAAGUCGAGCGAGCGGCGGACGGGGGAGUAAUGUCUGGGAAAGUGCCUGAUGGAGGGGGAUAACCACUGGAAACGGUAGCUAAUAACGUAUACAAUCAGCUGUGCCCAGAUGGGAUUAGCUAGUAGGUGGGGUAAGGGCACACCUAGGCGACGAUCCCUAGCUGGUCUGAGAGGAUGACCAGCCACACGGGAACUGAGACACGGUCCAGACUCCUACGUGAGGAAGCAGUGGGGAAUAUUGCACAAGGGGCGAAAGCCUGAUGCAGCCAUGCCGCGGGUGUGAAGAAGGCCUUCGGGUUGUAAAGCACUUUCAGUGAGGAGGCGUUACAAGCAGAAGAAGCACCGGCUAACUCCGUGCCAGCAGCCGCGGUAAUUC
rnacentral:rRNA from 1 species